AGCGGCGGACGGGUGAGUAACGCGUGGGUAACCUGCCCUAUACACAUGGAUAACAUACUGAAAAGUAUACUAAUACAUGAUAAUAUAUAUUUGCGGCAUCGCAGAUAUAUCAAAGUGUUAGCGGUAUAGGAUGGACCCGCGUCUGAUUAGCUAGUUGGUGAGAUAACUGCCCACCAAGGCGACGAUCAGUAGCCGACCUGAGAGGGUGAUCGGCCACAUUGGAACUGAGACACGGUCCAAACUCCUACGGGAGGCAGCAGUGGGGAAUAUUGCACAAUGGGCGAAAGCCUGAUGCAGCAACGCCGCGUGAACGAUGAAGGUCUUCGGAUCGUAAAGUUCUGUUGCAGGGGAAGAUAAUGACGGUACCCUGUGAGGAAGCCCCGGCUAACUACGUGCCAGCAGCCGCGGUGAUACGUAGGGGGCUAGCGUUAUCCGGAUUUACUGGGCGUAAAGGGUGCGUAGGUGGUCCUUCAAGUCGGUGGUUAAAGGCUACGGCUCAACCGUAGUAAGCCGCCGAAACUGGAGGACUUGAGUGCAGGAGAGGAAAGUGGAAUUCCCAGUGUAGCGGUGAAAUGCGUA
rnacentral:rRNA from 1 species